rnacentral:rRNA from 1 species
CGCGUAGGCGGCCUGGCAAGUGGAAGGUGAAAUCCCUCGGCUUAACCGAGGAACUGUCCUCCAAACUGCCUGGCUUGAGACCGGGAGAGGUGAGUGGAAUUCCCAGUGUAGCGGUGAAAUGCGUAGAUAUUGGGAGGAACACCAGUGGCGAAGGCGGCUCACUGGACCGGUACUGACGCUGAGGCGCGAAAGCGUGGGGAGCAAACGGGAUUAGAUACCCCGGUAGUCCACGCCGUAAACGAUGAGUGCUUGGUGUAGCGGGUAUCGACCCCUGCUGUGCCGAAGUCAACACAUUAAGCACUCCGCCUGGGGAGUACGGUCGCAAGGCUGAA